GUCCUCCAGGCUAUGUUACAUAUCUUCAUUUGAACAGAAUGAUACUCAGUUCAGUAUAUUUGAACAACUUUUGUAGAUGGAAAGAUUUUACCUAGAAACAUAAUUUUGCAAUGAAAUGAGAAGCAUUGUUACAGAUUGAGGCAGAUGCUGCAUGUGUGUUGCAAGAAGAUGUAAACAGGCUCAGCAGUGCACGAUGACACACCUUUCACAGCCAGAGCCCAGUUCUCCUGACUUCUGCAUCAUACAGCCACUGCUGGGGACCCACACUUCCAAGUCACAAAUGUGUGAAAUCACCCUAUUACCUACAGCAGUAGCUGUGAGCAGGCAGCUAUUUUCAGAUGCAAGCAUGUAGAUGAAGCACUCCCCCCUCUCACCUACCUUGGUUGAAACCCAGU